rnacentral:rRNA from 1 species
GACGUAGGAGGCGAGCGUUAUCCGGAUUCACUGGGCGUAAAGGGCAUGUAGGCGGAUGGGCAAGUCCUGUGUUAAAGCCCCUGGCUCAACUGGGGGAGGUCAUGGGAGACUGCACGUCUGGAGGGCGGCAGAGGAGCGUGGAACUCCCGGUGUAGCGGUGGAAUGCGUAGAGAUCGGGAAGAACACCAGUGGCGAAGGCGACGCUCUGGGCUGCAUCUGACGCUGAGAUGCGAAAGUGUGGGGAGCAAACGGG